rnacentral:lncRNA from 1 species
AUACUUGGGGUGUGUUCACAUUCCUGCCUCAGAGCGCUAUUAAGUUGUUGUCGUCGUCGUCCCCCCGCCAGUGUGUUUCAUGCCUCUUUCUGCCUUCGACUGUUCUCAUCAGGACAGCUUCAUUACUGUCAGAUUUGUUUCUCUUUGAGGGUGCUGAUGGCAGGAGAGAGACAAAUUAGGAGUGGCUUAAGGACUCCAGUCAGCAGUAUUUUAUAAUGGAGUACAAAAUACAUAACAUGUCAUGGGAACAUGAAUUAAAAACUCUGCACUGGAAAUGCGGUGAGUGUACAGUAAACAGAAGUGGGGAGCCGCAGGUCGCCCUCCCUUGCGGAAAAAAGCCUGCCGAGACGAAGGAAAUUCCCAGUUAAACGGGCUACUGGUUAAAAGAUCACUUUCAUUGCAUCUUGGCUAAAAAGGCACUGCGCCCUCUCGUUCUGGAUUUUCUCGGGAGUUUCCCUCAGACAUAGCGGUCACAUUGCAGCCAAGAAACUGAUGCCUUCGCUGAACGGAGUUUCCCUCAGCAUCGCCUCGCUCCCUCCCCGCCAACAAACUUCUGAGGCGGUUAGCGGAUGGGCGUUUCCCGGACGGCGAACCUCCGCCCAGCGGCCAUUUUUACCAUCUUUUCCCGCUCAGUUCCCCCUUUUCGAGAUGUUUCAGAAACUCGUGCUAAGUGGGGCCAGGCUGCCCUACGCCUGGCUUACUCGGAUAACGGUCUGAACUCUCUUCACUCUCUUUGCCGCUGGGAGGAGGAGAAAGAGAAAAAGCGAUGGCGCCCCUCGACUGCCACACGGACUGCGUGGAGAGGCCCCUGUCGCGCGCGCUGCGGGCCCUGGGCGCCCAGGUGGGCGCGCACCCGUGGCCCUUCCUGCUCGUGCCCGUGGCGCUCUCGGCCGCUUUGGGCGCCGGCUUCGCGUUCCUGAGCAGCCUGGAGGACAACGACAUCGAGGGCCAGUUCACGCCGCUCGGGGGCCCCGCCAAGGGCGAGCGGCGCUUCGUGCAGGCGCACUUCCCCACCGACGACGCGCGGCGCUUCUCCGCCGAGAGGCUGAGCACCGAGGGCUCCUUCGCCUCCCUCCUGGCCGUGGCCCGCGGCGGAGGCUCGCUCCUCACCCGGGAGGCCUUCGCCGAGCUGCUGGCGCUGGACCAGGCGGUGCGGGGGCUCCGCAGCCCCGACGGCGCCGCGCUCCCCUUCGCCCAGCUCUGCGCGCGGAGCAGCCCCGGCCACAACUGCAGCAGCGCCAACCCGCUGCUCAGCUUGGUGCAAGGCGGGUCGCGCAUCGAGGCGCUGCUGCCCGACCUCACCUUCCCGCUCUACGUCCCUCCGCUCACUGCCAACCCCCUUUUCCUGCCCCCCUUUCUGGGAGGCCUCGACUUGGGCCCCGGGGAUGGGCCGGCGCGCCCCGUCCGGGCAGCCAAAGCGCUGCGCCUCUUCUACUACUUGCAGGAGGAUGAGGCUUCUCGCAGAAACGGCAGCGCGCUCUGGCUCCGGACGUUUCUGGAGCGCAUCCCGGGCGUGGUGAAAUCCUUGAACCUCGCAACCAUCCAGGUAAGCGUCUCCUGGCACGAUGGAGCCGGAAUGUGACCGAUGUGAAUCUCUGUGUCUGCCUGAUGCAUUACUUACUGCUUACUGGAGCGAACAGGAUCUGAAGUCAAACCACUAGGGUCAGAGGUUCCCCAUGCCUAACCCACCUGCAUCAGCAAGUGGAAGCAUUCAGUGGCGGCCAAACAUUUAAUUUUAGUAAGUAAACAAUGUGCGUCACCACAGGAAUUAGAAAACAGCAUCUCUAGCAAUACAAGAAUGCCAAGGAGUACCUCUUUCAAAAUGAUGCACAUUAUUACUAUGCCUUGUGUCAAUCUCUAGGUUUUAAAAAUGCAUUUUAUCCUUUUAUGCUGUUUCCUGAAUUACUACUUGUGCACUGCUUGGACAUGCUUGGAUGUAAAUCAGGGGCAGAACACCUUGAGCCCAUGGGCCAAAUUUGGCUUGCCAAACUUCAUCAUUUGGCCCAUAAGGCCAUUUUACCCAAACUAUGCCCACAUGCCCUACAUCUGAUGUCACAUGUGAUGUCAGGCACAGGGCAGGUAGAGAUAGGGCUAGAUCAGCUGCACAUACCACCGAUCCCAGCAGAAAGGACCACCCAUCAGCUGAUGCAUUGGGACUUCAAUUCUACUUGGGCACCAUCUUCCCCUACUCCCAUUGGCCCACUUUGACAGGACCACACAUCUGUCAAUUUCCUCUACCCACCUGUCAAAGUUGGACCAUAGGAUGGGGAGAAUCAGGAUCUGACCUGAUGGUGGUUGACUGGGGUCUUGAGAAUAAUGUUCGUUGCAGGACUUCCAACUGCACUAUAAAUAAAGCUUUCAAAAUAUGUUUAAAUAGGGGGAGCAAGGGGAAUGAGAUUUGGGCCCUACUGCAAAAAGCUUGGGGCCCUGAAUUAACCUCUAGCAACACCUCCUCCAGAUUAUGUCAGUGUGAUGGGCUGAUUUGUUCGAAAUGCAUAUCAUUCGACCCACAGCUCCUCACCCAUAGGAACCCCUCCCCCUUCUUUGCGAAAGUGAAAACAAAAAAGGACUUGCUCACUUAGCCUUUGUAGAACAGAAAGCAGAACCUCACUGCGUACUAAAACUGAGGGUUAGCUAACAAGCCCAAGCAAAAUUUGUACUGUAUCUGUUUUCUCAGCUGGGGUUGUUAUUAGUGCAACUAGUUCUGCUUCUCUGUGCUACCCAGGCCUGAAUAGUUUCUCCCUUUCUUUUUGUCUCUCUUUUUUUUUUUACCUUUAUCUCCCUUAAAAAAAACCUUUUUUAAUUAUGUGGUUUGACUACUGGAGCCAGUAACACUGUUCAGUGUAAGGCUAUUAAUAUGCCUCUUUGCAUCCAGAAGGGAAGCAAAGGAACUGCUCCAGACAGGUAAGUUUUAUUCCAUUUGGGUUAGUCUGUUGCAGCUUUUCAUUAAUUAGCAUGUGUUUUCCCUCUCACCCUAUUAAACAGAACUCAUUGCUUUGAACUUACGCCUUCUGCUACAGCAUCCAACCAGACAUCAAUGCCUGACAUUUUAUUGAAAGGCUAUCUUUGUUUUAAAGUUAAUUAUCCUGCCUCCUUUGGACAAUUUUUUUAUUAUAAAUAUCAGGUGGGGUAUAAUAUGCACAUUUAAACAAUAUAUGGAAGAUGUAUCUUUCAGCAGAAAUGGGGUUUCUCCCUCACAAUCCUCAACAUUUGGUUAGUUUUACUGGCAGGCCUAACAGGAAGACUAACGGCUUCUGUUCCCUGCCCUGCCCACCCCAGAUAAAGGGGAAAAUAAAGAGACAAUUGUUCAGUUCCAUGCUGCUUCCCGCAGAAUUCUUUUUUCCUCUUCCUGCUCCAAUAAACUUUUAACAGAGAGGUUGGGAACACCAAGUUGAAAGUUAAUUUAGUUCUCAGUGCUACUAGUUUCUGUACAACUCGAGACUAGUCCUAAAAUAAGUGGAUCCAAGGCCCUUAGUUGGUGAGCACAAUAAUUUAAGAGCUCUGCUGGAUUAGACCAAAGCAUCCUUUUCACCCAUAAUGGUCAAGCAGAUGCUUAUGGGAAACCCACAAAUGAGGAUUGUAUCCCUCUUUUGCUCUUGUUUCUCAGCAAUUAGUACUCUGGUACUUAGAGGCAUGCUGCUUCUGAAGCUGGAGGCAUGGAAUAGCAUCAUGACUGGUUGCCAUCGGUAUUAUUAUCCUCGGUGAAGCUCUCUUAAGUACUUUGUAAGGAAAGGUACUUAAAUAGCCAUCAUUUAUUAAUAAAGCCCAUAUUGCUCGUAAAAUUCUUAAAUCUUUCAUGAAUUUUGCACAUAUAUAUGUAUGUACGCAUGUAUGCAAUAUUGGAUUUAUAUUCUCAGUGACUCAAAGCAUGAGCAAAUGGAUAGAUUUUAAAAGUUAUGUAAACUAGUGGCUGUCUCUAAAAGUUUGAAGCCAGACAGUGGUGCUAAGCUGAAGCUUCUGCCAGUCAUAGGCUGUGCACACAUUGGUGACUUGAGGCAUUAGAGACUUUGUUCAGCCAACCCAACCAAGCAGCUUAAUGAAGACUGAGAAUUGCUGGGCGGCCUCAGAAUGUUGAGUGUCCAGUGGGAUGUGGAGUGAAAUGAAUUAUUCUCAAAGAGGGCAGGGCUGGCUAGAACCCUUGGUGUAUGAAGUCUUGCACUGUUUAGGAAGGGCUAUCUGAAAGAGCACCUCACCCCUUAUAUGGCAAGUCAAGUCACUGAGGGCCUCCAGCAGAUACCACCUGAUCAGGAGGUCUGUUCCUCACAGUGUAGGACAUGGGCCUUUAUUGCUGUGACACCUGUCCUUUGGAAUUACUCCCCACUGCUUGAAUAUUACACAGACGCUGUAUCGGCUGUCUUUUAAGUGCCUCCUGAAGAACCUUGCUCUUAGCAAGUAGAGAUCUUUCCCAGUCUACAUCUGUAUUGGAAUUGUUUUAAGGAUGUUUUUAUUGUUUUCUAUCCUGGGCCCCUGUACAGGAACACUCCAUGCUGCAAAAUUUAUUUCAGGUCCCACUUAUAUUCUGCUAAUUGCACCCUGUCUUUGUACUCUUGUGAGCAUUUAGAUUUAUAUAUUAAGAGAGAAAAUAUUUAACAUGUGACCUUCUCUUCUCCCCGCCCCCAUGGCAGGUGGCUUAUUUUACUUCAUUGUCCAGACAAGAAGAGUUUGAAAAAAAUACUAAAGAAGUGGUCCCUUUGUUUUCCAUCACGUAUACCUUAACAAUAACCUUCUCAAUUAUCUCAUGCUCAAGGUAAUUGCUGAGGAAAGGGAAAUAAUUUUUAUCUUUUCAUUUUGUGAGAGUGUAUGGGGGACUCCCUGGUCUUGAAUGGAGCAACUGUGUCUGUGAAGGAGGAGGUGCACAGCCUGGGAGUCAUUUUGGACUCACAGCUGUGCAUGGAGGUGCAGGUCAAUUCAGGACAGCUGUCUACCAGCUCCAUCUGGUACGCAGGCUGAGACCCUACCUGCCCACAGACUGUCUCGCCAAAGUGGUGCAUGCUCUAGUUAUCUCCCGCUUGGACUACUGCAACGCGUUCUAUGUGGGGCUACCUUUGAAGGUGACCCAGAAACUCCCAACUAAUCCAGAAUGUGGCAGCUAGACUGGUGACUGGGAGCAGCCGCCAAGACCACAUAACACUGGUCUUGAAAGACCUACAUUGGCCCCCAGUACAUUUCUGAGCGCAAUUCAAAGUGUUGGUGCUGAUCUUUAAAGCCCUAAACGGCCUUGGUCCUGGAUACCUGAAGGAGCGUCUCCACCCCCAUUGCUCUGUCCGGACACUGAGAUCCAGCGCCGAGGGCCUUCUGGCGGUAUCCUCACUGUUGAGAAGCAAAGUUACAGGGAACCAGGCAGAGGGCCUUCCCGGUAGUAGCACCCACCCUGUGGAACGCCCUGCCAUCAGAUGUCAAAGAAAUAAACAACUAUAUGACAUUUAGAAGACAUCUGAAGGCAGCCCUGUUUAGGGAAGUUUUUAAUGAUUGAUGUUUUAAUGUAUUUUUAACCUUCUGUUGGAAGCCGCCCAGAGUGGCUGGGGAAACCCAGCCAAAUGGGUGGGGUAGAAAUAAUAAAUAAUAAUUAUUAUUAUUAUUGUUGUUGUUGUUGUUGUUAUUAGGUAUCAUGUGUAUGCAGGCUUAAGAGGAGGUAGUAGAUCUACCAAGCUUCAUCUGAAUGUCUGCCAUCUUUCCCACAUUCCAUCGAAGAAUGCAGACUCAAUGGCCUUACCAACAGCCAACUUUGUUCUCCCCCCUCCUUAGUUUGUUUACUGUCUAGCUGAUGAAGCAUUCUGGGGAGCUUGGAAGCUUGCAUCCUUUUCUGAGAUAUUUUGUGCAGCUAGGGCUUCAAAACAGAGCUUCACACAGCUUCAGUGCAUGCAUAGCCGAUCCAUGUGGUGCUAACGGGUUUAGCUUGGUUCAGUGGGAGGGGGGAUUAGCACGUGUACCGUGAUACUCUGAAUCGAAUUAGAAUCUUCUUAAUCUGUUUUCCAGGCUGGACUGUGUACGGACAAAAGUGUGGGUUGCAGCUUUUGGGGUGCUGUCAGCAGGCUUAUCUGUCGUCAGCAGCUUUGGAUUGCUGCUCUUUUGUGGGGUGCCGUUUGUUGUCACAGUUGCAAAUUCGCCAUUUCUUAUCCUUGGUAAGUGAGCAAAUGUACACAUUCCUCCUGACUUCUCCAUUGGGCUUUUCAUUAAUACAUUUAAGUAUGAUGAUGGGUGAAAAUUCUCUUACAUAUCUACGGGUUUGCGACGUUAAGGAGCCUUUUUUUUCCGGGAGCCAAGCCAUUCGAGUUUCAAGAUAUCACUGUAUUUCUCUUCUCGCAUGACAUAUAGGAACUAAUAUGUUAUAUAUUUGCCAUUCUUCAGGGGUUGGUGUUGAUGACAUGUUCAUCCUGGUGUCUUGCUGGCAGAAGACUAAAGUGAAGGACAGUGUCAGAGAGCGAAUGGCUGACACCUACAGAGAAGCAGCUGUGUCCAUUACCAUCACGACCCUCACGGACGUUUUAGCCUUCUACAUUGGAAUUGCAACUUCAUUCCAGUCCGUUCAGGCAUUUUGCAUCUACACAGGAACAGCCUUUGUGUUCUGCUACUUAUAUAGCCUGACAUUUCUUGGGGCCAUUCUUGCUUUAAAUGGGAGACGAGAAGAAAGCAACAGACACUGGCUCACAUUCAUGAAAGUGAACAAUGAGCCUCAGGACUCUCAGGGCUGCACAUAUAACAUGUGCUGUGUAGGAGGGUCUUUUGAUGAGUCCACUGGAGCAGAGACUGAACACCCCAUGAAUGGAUUCUUUAGAAAGUAUUACGGUCCCUUCCUUAUGCACAGCUGGACCAAGGUGCUUGUGGUAGUCCUUUAUCUCAUGUACUUGGGUAGUAGUAUUUUUGCCUGCACUCAAGUCAAAGAAGGUAUAGAUCUUCGAAAUCUAGCUAGUGACAAUUCUUACGUCAUCCAGUAUUAUGAAUGGGAAAAGGAAUAUUUUUCAGAAUACGGCCCAAGGGUUAUGGUGGUUGUUACUGAAAGCAAAGCUUAUUGGGAUUCAUCUGUCCGUGCAGAUCUUGAAAACUGUAUGAACGCACUAGAAAGCUCAUCCUACGUCAACAAGAAUUUAUCAGUGUCCUGGUUGAGAACUUACCAAGAUGUCGCUAAACGUAUGUCUUUCAAUAUAGAUGACCGUAGGCUUUUCAUUGACAAUUUAGCCACCCUUUUUGGGAUUAAUCCAGAUUUCAAGUGGGAUGUUUAUGUUAUUGCUACAGAAAUAAUAGCAUCACGUUUUUUCAUACAGACAGUCAAUGUUACUACUGCAGUGGAUGAGAGGAGUCUUUUAAAUGAGCUGAGAGGUCUUGCUAAGGACUGCAAGGUACCAUUGAUGGUUUAUCAUCCAGCUUUUAUUUACUUUGAUCAAUAUCUUGUGAUCGUUCAGAACACAGUUCAAAAUGUUGUGAUUGCUGCUGGAGCCAUGCUACUCAUUUCCUUACUACUCAUUCCCAAUCCUCUUUGUUCUUUGUGGGUAACCUUUGCUAUUGCCUCUGUUAUUGUCGGUGUAGCUGGUUUCAUGUCCUUCUGGAAUGUGAAUCUUGAUUCCAUAUCCAUGAUUAACCUUGUAAUUUGCAUAGGGUUUUCAGUAGACUUCUCAGCCCAUAUUUCCUAUGCUUUUGUUGCCAGUGAGAAACACAAAGUGAAUGACAAGGCUGUGGAUGCUUUGUACCACCUUGGCUACCCUGUUACGCAGGGAGCUAUUUCCACUAUCUUGGGAGUUAUUGUACUCUCCAUGGCAUCUUCUUACAUCUUCAGAACCUUUUUUAAGAUAAUGUUUCUGGUGAUCUUGUUUGGGGCUGUUCACGGUCUCAUUUUUAUUCCUGUGUUCUUAACUUUCUUCGGCUUUUGUAGUAAAAUGCCAAAUAGACAGCUUCCAGUCAGUGCCCAGAGCUCCAGUGCUGGAGGAGUUCCUUUCUCAGAUACAAAUACUGUAUUAUGAAACCGCCUAAUGUAAACAUGACAAUAUUACAAUAAGAGCAGUUCGAUAAUGGAACUAAUUACCUAGAGGGCGGGAGUGGGCUCUUUCUGGUGAGCAUUUAAGGUCCCCAUCCCUACCUUGCAGGCUGCCAUCUGAUUGGAUUUUACUUUGAUUCUGACUUGAUUUUAGGAGGUAGGAUGUAUUUUAAUUGAUUGCUUGAUUUUAUGGUAAUAUGUCAUAUAUUUGAUAUUAGCCACUCUGAGCCCUGUUUUGGCUGGGGAGGGCAGGGUAUAAAUAAAAUUUAUUAUUAUUAUUAUUGUUCCUCAGUGUUCUCUCUCCCACCACUUGCGGGCCAACUUUGGAAAGUGAGCAGGACCACUGACAUCACGAUUACAUCAGGUGGCCCUUUUGCCCACAUGGGUCUUACAGAGCACUUUUUAUAAGGCUUCGUAAGACCCAAUGAUUAGCUGAUUGUCAGGUGUUGCAAAGCCCUGCACGCAGCAGUUUGCUUAGGAUAUUUCAGGCACCACCAUUCCACUGAUUGACAGCGCCUCAAAACCCCUUUCAGUUGAGCCACGUUUCAAACCUGCCUGGAAAUACCACCCAUUGAAGUGGGUACCCCUCCUUAUCCCAGAUCUGUAGGGGCCUACUAAUGUAGAAUCUCUUAUGUUCUCUGUGAUGCUGUGAUAUUAGCACCCAAAAUGUACAAUAUAUCAAGUUUUGCUUGUGUCAUAUUUUCUUUUCUUUUUUUGUUUCUUUUUUUAAUGUAUUUUUUUAAAGAUUUCUUGCUUUAC